GCCCUAUCGUCCCUACUGCACGCGGGGUGCCGUGUGAACAGCCCGUGCUGCUGCCCCACACUCUGAGCCACCACAGGGAGCCGUUCCCGCUCCUGCCAGUGCGCGACAAAUAACGGGAAAGCUGAAGAGGCGCUUCUCAGUGCUCACAAACUGGAUGUCAAGGACGGUGAUUCUAGAUAAAGAUGCAGAUGUGAAGUAUGAAAUGAAAUCAGUCCUGACACCUCAGGUCUUGCACUUUCCACGCAGGGUCUCAGAAAUGCCUGAUUUCCUUCCCCAAGGCCCAUGACAUCUGCACGGCAGUACUCCUUUUUCCAGAAGGGUAAACAGACACUGGUGACAUGAGUGGCAAAGGCACGAAGGACAGCAAACUCCUCCAGCCCUCACACACACAGCUGCAGCACAGCCAUCCUGUGCACCGUGCAGCUGAGUUACUACACUUGGGAAGUGCACAUCACACUUUUCUAAGAGAAGUACCCACUAUUCUCCUCACCCGCCAUUCUUCUAUGACUGCUUUCCAGUCCCCGUAUAUACCAGAUGGAGCCAGCAAUGGCCCUGCACACUGCUGUGUUGAGCCUCAAUCUGUGUUUCGUACUAUAGCAUGGCACGUGUGAACAGAUUCUCAUGUGCCUGGCUUCAGUAUGGCUGUUUGUUGACUGGGGGUGGGAUCCUAGCUCUUAGUCAGAUCCCAAAUAUUCCUGUGAUGGUUUCAGCAUCAAGCAGAAAAUGAGUGGGCAAAACUGGGAAUGAAAGCCAAUGUUUUAUCAUUUCAGGCCUUUUAUCAUCUAUCUUACAGUGAAGGACAAAAGUGGAGGUAGUGGAUGAAAAAUGAGGAGGGCUCUUGAGUAAACAACUUUAGAAAGGAAGGAGAGAAAGGAAGAAAGAAGGGAAGAAGGAAAGAAAGGAAGGUAGGAAGAAGAAAAAAGAGAAAGAGAAAAGAGAAAGCACUGUAGGAAUACCAUGCCAGAGAGGAGUAUGCAGACAAGUUUCACUGUGAGUCUGUAAACUUCAGAGGUAUUCACAGCAAAAAGUACACGUUCACUUUCUGAGUUAAGAGGAAUUUUCCAAUGGCAUGUAUGUAAAUCCACUCAAUCUAGAUGAGAAGUGACUAUACAGACUUGCUUUAGAAGAUAACAGGUUUAUCAGUCACAUAUAAUCUUAAGCUGCAGGUGCCUUAGUGGGAUGAUUACACAGUAGAGGAGCAGAAGGAGGAGAGGAAUGAAAUUCCUGGUUGUGCUGGCAGAAUGGAAAAUGGAAUGAUGGGACAAUUUGCAUGAUUUAUUAUGGGCUUUCAGUUGAGAGCAAAAAGAUCCCAAAUAAAUAUUACAGUCUCUUUUCAUGAAAGAUUUCUUUUUACUGUACAACAACAAAAAUAAAAAUUAGCGUGACUUUUACUGUUUCACUCACUAUUACUGCCUUUAACAUCAUUUUAUGGUACAAGGUGGAGGAAUUUUGGAAACUUCCAUGGCUGUGUUUCUAUCUCAGUGCUGUAGUGAUUUCAUUCAGCAGUACAAGACACAGGCUUAUUUCUGUUAGUGAUCAGAGAUAAAGCACAUAAGUAAACAAAUAGUGGUCACUUCAGCCUGCCACUUUGCUUUCAUUCUUUUGACAAAACCCAAGAGCUGCCAAUAAAUGACUUUGAUACCAUCUGUACUUGCAAUUAGUACCAAAGUUACGAAUAUCUUCACAGGGAUGUAAUUGCAGGCAGAACCUGAGGCCAUUACAUUUCAAUUCACUGUACAAACACAAUUUCUUCUAGUUAGUUGCCACCUUUUCAACUUUGUGUCUUUAGUGAGAGAAACUAAGAAUGAGAAAACUCUUUAAUGAGAAGAAUUGAAAUGGAGAUGGCUCUGCAAGCUCAAACUAAACCGUCAAGUGAGACCAGACUAUUUUAUUUUCUCACUAACUCACCGGAUCAAAUGCUACCUCUUUAAAUCAGUUCCCAACCUCCCAUUACUUUAUUACAAACAACAUUUGUCCUUUAUAGCCUCAAAUUAUCAUAUCUUAGGAUUAGGCCUCUGAAGGCCAUGAGGUUGCUUAUGUUUGAGAAAAGAUAAAGCCUUUGUCUUGCCUGAAGCACAUUUCAGUUUUGUUUAAAUGUGUUCCUCUACUUAUUUGUUCACAGAAAGAUGCUGUAAGUCAUAAAAUCAGAAUUGCUCAGGUUGGAAUAAAACCUUAAAGAUCAUCUAGUCCAACCACAACCUAACCAUACUACCCUGACUCUAACAACCCUCUGCUAAAUCAUGUCCCUG